CGCUGGGAUAGUCCCUGAAGAGGGCGGCGAAGUGGUCGGCCUCGGCGGCGGACACGGUCGGGAAUACGGUGACGACGGAGAUGUCGACGUCGUGGGCGGACAGCGCGCCGAUGAAGCGGAAGAACUGGAGGAGGUGGCCCAUGCCGGCGCUCGGGACGAACACGACGUGCGGCCGUGUGUGCCCUCGCGCGCCGAGCUCACCGGAGCUGAGCACCGUAGGCG
rnacentral:snoRNA from 1 species